rnacentral:rRNA from 1 species
AACGAACGCUGGCGGCAUGCUUAACACAUGCAAGUCGAACGAGACCUUCGGGUCUAGUGGCGCACGGGUGCGUAACGCGUGGGAAUCUGCCCUUUGCUACGGAAUAACUCAGAGAAAUUUGUGCUAAUACCGUAUGAUGUCGCAAGACCAAAGAUUUAUCGGCAAAGGAUGGGCCCGCGUAGGAUUAGCUUGUUGGUGAGGUAAAAGCUCACCAAGGCGACGAUCCUUAGCUGGUCUGAGACGAUGAUCAGCCACACUGGGACUGAGACACGGCCCAGACUCAUACGAGAGGCAGCAGUGGGGAAUAUUGGACAAUGGGCGAAAGCCUGAUCCAGCAAUGCCGCGUGAGUGAUGAAGGCCUUAGGGUUGUAAAGCUCUUUUACCAGGGAUGAUAAUGACAGUACCUGGAGAAUAAGCGCCGGCUAACUCCGUGCCAGCCGCCGCGGUAA